UGGGGAAUUUUGGACAAUGGGCGAAAGCCUGAUCCAGCAAUGCCGCGUGUGUGAAGAAGGCCUUCGGGUUGUAAAGCACUUUUGUCCGGAAAGAAAUCCUUGGCUCUAAUACAGUCGGGGGAUGACGGUACCGGAAGAAUAAGCACCGGCUAACUACGUGCCAGCAGCCGCGGUAAUACGUAGGGUGCAAGCGUUAAUCGGAAUUACUGGGCGUAAAGCGUGCGCAGGCGGUUUGCUAAGACCGAUGUGAAAUCCCCGGGCUCAACCUGGGAACUGCAUUGGUGACUGGCAGGCUAGAGUAUGGCAGAGGGGGGUAGAAUUCCACGUGUAACAGUGAAAUGCGUAGAGAUGUGGAGGAAUACCGAUGGCGAAGGCAGCCCCCUGGGCCAAUACUGACGCUCAUGCACGAAAGCGUGGGGAGCAAACAGGAUUAGAUACCCUGGUAGUCCACGCCCUAAACGAUGUCAACUAGUUGUUGGGGAUUCAUUUCCUUAGUAACGUAGCUAACGCGUGAAGUUGACCGCCUGGGGAGUACGGUCGCAAGAUUAAAACUUAAAUGAAUUGACGGGGUCAUAGCUGUUUCCU
rnacentral:rRNA from 1 species